ACGGGAGGCAGAGGUUGCAGUGAGCAGAGAUCGCACCACUGCACUCCAGCCUGGGUGACAAAGCGAGACUCUGACUCAAAAAACAAAAAACAAAAAGAAACUUUUUUUUUUCACUUUCUAACAUUACAGAAAUUGAAGUGCAUCUUAUAAUCAAUGUCGAAAGAAACUUGUCAGCUGAUGAUAUAUCUUACAACAGGGUGAAUUGGAAUGGAGGAAAAAAAAGUAGUUGAAGACCAUCCCUGCGGCUCCCAAGGUGAAAGUUACUGGGGUGGCCUGAACUUCCCAGUGUGGCUGGAAGAUUAACCACUUCAGAGAAUACCAGAUCAACACCGUGUUUUGCAUGCCUGCACCUUCGGAGAGGAAGCUGCUAUUUCAGAAGCCAGGCAGAACAAAGGGAGUCGUCUGGUGCAAUCCUAGUAAUUAGGGAGAAGAGGCCCCUCAGAACCCUGAUGGAUACAGCAGUGUAGAAGGCACUCUCUGCCAUCCUCCCUGCUCCCUACCUG
rnacentral:lncRNA from 1 species